UUCUUGGAUUAUAACUCCUGUUGGUGGAAUUAACCCAGAAGGAAUAUAGACUACAGGGAAAUAUUUCCACAUCUGAAGUAUCUGCAGAUUUUAAAGGAUGGAUGGUCUGAAUGCAAUCAAACUUCUUCUAGCUCUUACAUUUGUUCAUGGUAAGGUCAAGUUUUUGGGCUUUUUACAUUUUUAUUUUAAAGAGAAUUAUGCUGAAAUAUGGUAUGCCGAAAUGGUACUUUGACUCGGAUGUUUGGGCAAGUCCAAGAAUUUGCGCAUGUUACGUAUGGGACAUUUCAGAGGCUUUAAUGACCUGAAAAAAUAGAGUUAAAUGACUUUGAUUAGAUUGUAUACCCUCAUUGGUGAGUAUCUAGGAGAAGAAUAAUCAUACAAAAAAUGGUGACAUAUGACCUUGACCUUUUAGAGAGAAAAGAUGAGCUGUUACGUAUGGGACACAGAAAAAAGACAAUUUUUCAAAGUUGAAAAUUCUCUAAAAGUAUUUCAAUUGACAACUUGUAAGUCACAACACUCUAGUAUAAAGGCAAGUUUCAUGUCAUAAGCCCAAACCGUCUAAUUACCGACACUAAUUAAACAGAUUAAUGACUUGUUAUAUACAUGUAUAUGGGACAGUUACGUAUAGGACAUUUUGUCCCUAUAGAGAACGUACAUGUACACAAUUUUCCCCAUAAUUUUAAAACUGAAAAUAAUCUAAAAUAUGGAAUUAUCAAGAGUUGUUUCUUUUAAACUGUUCUAUUGAGAUAUAGUUCAUAUGACUGAAAAGGGAAUUAUCCAUUUCAACAUUUUUGUCCCGCCUGCAUAGCAGAGCGAGACUAUAGGCACCGCUUUUCCGACGGCGGCGGCGGCGUCGUCAACAUUGAAAUCUUAACCAAGGUUAAGUUUUUGAAAUGUCAUCAUAACUUAGAAAGUAUAUGGACCUAGUUCAUAAAACUUGGACAAAAGGGUAAUCAAGUAUUACUGAACAUCCUGCUCGAAUUUCAGGUCACAUGACCAAGGUCAAAGGUCAUUUAGGGUCAACUAACUUGACCAUGUUGGGGGAAUCAAUGUAAAAAUCUUAACCAAGGUUAAGUUUUUGAAAUGUCGUCAUAACUUCGAAAGUAUAUGGACCUAGUUCAUGAAACUUGGAUAUAAAGAUGAUAGGGUAUCAUUGAAGAUCCUGCUUAAGUUUCAGGUCACAUGACCAAGGUCAAAGGUCAUUUAGGGUCAACGAUCUUUGAUAAUGUUUGGGGUAUUUGUGGAAUUGUCAUAAAACUUUAGAAUUUUAUAGAUCUAAUUCAUAGAAACUUGGGACAUACAUUAAGAGGAACCAUGUAUGUAAUAUCUUGUGCUUGUUUCAGGUCACAUGACCAAAAUCAAAGGUCAUUUUUUAAUAGGGUCAAUGAACUUUGGCCAUGUUGGGAUUGUUGAAUUGGCAUCAUAACUUAGAAAGUUUAUAGAUCUACACAUGUAGUUUAUGAAACAGAUAUAAGCAGGGUGCUACAUAACUUUUUAGAAGCGCUUGCCCGGUCAGGCAAGUAAAUUUUUAAAUAGUUGGAAUAUACUUGCCAAAAAUCUAUUUUACUUGCCAAAAAAAAACCUUGGAAAAAAAGCUUUACCUCUUCAAAAGAAAGUUUUGCGGUUUUAUAAACCAUAGACCUUUUUCUCUUUUGACAUGAACUGAUCUACCUUGUUAUUGCAUUUCUUUUUCCAAAGAGAUUUUAAAUAUCUUGCCUGCCAUGACCAAAAUUAUGGUCAAUAUCAUAUAUCGACCCUAAUUUUGGUCAUUCUACAUGUACUGUUAGAAUUUUACUUGCCCGGUUCAGGCAAGUACUUUUGGUCUUAACUUCAAAACACUUGCCCGACUCUAACUUUUACUUGCCCUGGGCAAUCGGGCAAGUGCUUAUGUAGCACCCUGUUAGGGAUAUAUUCAAGUUGUCUUGCACAUACUGUCUGAGGUCAUAUGAUCAUGUUCGAAGGUCAUGUUGGGUAAAUGGACAUUGUCUUUUAUUAUCAUAUGAGUGUUUUCUUCAUGAAUAAUUAUUUAAAAGCUGUUUUCAAAGUCAGCACUGCUGGUAUACAAAUCGCGUAAUGCAGGCGAGACUGCCAGAGGCGUUCCACUUGUUAAUAUUUUCCCUCAAUUGAGCAGGAUCUACAGAACUAGGCCUUAGUUUUUAACACUGAAAUAUAGUAAUGUUCUCAUUUCGAUCUAUUGAUGUAACUGGUGUUAGCAGUGCACUUUCUGCUGAUUAACGUAUAUGAGAGUAAAAUUUUUGAUGUUCUUUUUGUUUGAGCUUCAAUUCAAUUAAUUCAGGCUUUAUGGAAGCGGGACCAGCAUGUUUUAUUUCUUCAUUUUCUUAUCCGAAUUCAUCAAUGUCUCCCAUUAUCAUUGGGUCGCCAAUUCAUAUAAUAAUAUGUUGCAUUUAUGAGGCACUGAUUAAUGGUGCACUCUAUGCAUUUUAUAAUUCAUACUAUAAUCCAUGGGAUGCCAUUUUAUCACUGCAAAUGUCAGCUGAUGUAUCUGUAGCCUUGGUUUUUGUCUCACCUGCAUAGAAGAGUGAGACUAUUAUAAUAGGCGCCGCUUUUCCGACGGCCUAUGUUGGAGGUAAUUAUUACAUGGCUGUCAUAACUUUCAAAGUUUAUGGAUAUAAUUUAUGAAUUGUGGACAAGGGGGUAAUGAAAUAUCACUGACAAGUCUUAGGAGACAUGAUCAAGGUCAAAUGUCAUUUAGGGUCAAUGAACGUACAUGUAUUGUAUCAUUAUAUGAAUGUUUUUGUUUUUAAUAAUUAUUUUAUAAUAGUUUUCAAAGUCAGCACUGCUGCUAUAUUGAAUCGCGUAAUGCAGGUGAGACUGCCAGAGGCGCUCCACUUGUUUUUUCUUGUUUUUCAUGGUUUCAUGAAUUUCUUAUGUAUUUCUAUUGUUUUUUAUUUUUUUCAUAUUUUUCCAUUUUCAUUAUUAUUAUUAUUACUUAUUAUUUGUACUGCGCUUUUCCCAUUAGGCCCAAAGCGCUUACAAUGAAUUAAUUAAAUGUAAUAUUUUAAAAACUACAAAGUACGAAAGAGAUGAGUUUUUAAUGACUUUUUGAAAAUUGCUAAUGUUGGAGACUGUCUAAUUAUUAGUGGCAGGUCGUUCCAGGAUUUUGAAGCCGACACUGUAAAAGUUCUGUCACCAGCUAAUGUACGAGUUAAUGAAUAUGUGAGGCGAAGGUGAUCACUGGCCAACCUAAGUGCUCUAGUUGGUGUAUACAGAUUCAAGCAGUUACUUAAAUACUGUGGAGCCUGUUUAUUCAGUGUUUUGUAGACAAUCAAGAGUAAUUUGAACGUAAUUCUCUGUUUAAAAGGAAGCCAGUGAAGAGAAUUAAAGAGUGGUUGGGAAGGAUGAUCUCGGGAAACCUGUAAAAUUAAUCGUGCUGCCCAAUUUUGUAGUCGUUGAAUACGAAUUAAUUGAUUAGAGGGAAUUGUAGAAAGGAGCCCAUUGCAAUAAUCAAUACGAGACAGAACCAAUGAACGAACAGCAUUGUGACAGGCAGACUGGUCAAUGAACCUUCUGAUUCUAGAAAUGUUCCUUAAAUAAAAAGUGACUGUGCUACAGAUAUGAGAGAUAUGGUACGACAUUGACAUGCGGGAAUCAAAUAUGACACCAAGGUUUCUUAUUUUUUCUGAUGGUCUAAAGAGUGUACCAUCAACAUCAAGUUGAACAUUUGGAAGAUUGCGCAAGUUAUAAGUAGAGGCCGCAACAAAAAAUUCAGUUUUUUUGUCAUUUAAUUUUAGCUUAUUCACUAUCAUCCACUGUCUUAUAUCUGAUAUACAAUUCUGGAGUUUAACCAGUGCAUUAUUGAGAGCUCCAGGAGUCUUCGGAUCAAAAGAAACGUAUAGUUGUACUGUAUGUCAUCAGCAUAAAAAUGAUAAUUGAUACAGUGAUUUCGGAUGAUGUCGCCAACUGGAAGAGUAUAUAUUGAGUAGCCUAUGGGUCCGACUAUUGACCCCUGAGGGAGUCCAAAUUCUAGAGUUAUGGGAUUUGACAAUGUGCCGUCAAUAUCAACUUGCGAAGUCCAUCCAGACAGGUAUGAUUGGAACCAGGAUAAGACUUUGGACCUAACGCCUAUUCUAUUGAAUAACCGAGAUAUGAAAAUGUUAUGAUCUAUUGUAUCAAACGCGACAGAUAAAUCUAACAGCACCAUAAAAACUACAUUAUUUGAGUCGAGAGAAAACAUGAUAUCAUUUUUUACUUUGAUCAGAGCUGACUCGGUGCUGUGACCUGGCCUAUAGGCAGAUUGGAGAGGAUCAAAAAUAUUAUUAGAUUCAAUAUGAUCAGCUAGUUGAGUACAUGCCGCCUUCUCGAUGAGUUUACCUAGAAAUGUUAAGUUUGAGACCGGUCUAUAAUUACUGAUGUCAUUUACGUCCAUGAAUUUUUUUUUUCAUUAAUCAGCAUUUAUAACAAAUCAGUCUUUAGCAACUAAAGAAAAGGUUUCGGUAUAUAAAUCACUUUUAAGAGCACUCUUGAAAUUUGUUUUUCUCCAUUCACAAAUCUCCCCAUUGACAUUGUGUGUAAAUGUCCCAUACGUAACAAUUUUUUAAUGAACUUUGAAUUGAAAAGCUAACUAUAUUUUUGAAACUAUUUGUGGUAUAACAUUUUCAUACUCAAUUAAUUAAAACUUCCCAGAGAUGCAAUAAUACAAGCAUUGUAUUCUAAAAAAUAACUUUAAAAAAAUCCUCAAAAUGUUACGAAUGGGGCAUUUCAUCCUUGGACAUGAUCUAAUUUGCAUAUUUAAUUCAAUGACACCACUCUUUUCCCUCAAAAGUGAUAAGAUGUUUAGGGGAUCCAUGUCCCACAGGUCUAUUAAAAUCUCACAAGUUUUGUUUAAAUUUUCGAUGAAUUUUUAUAAUUGUCCCAUCUGUAACGCCCAUUUUACCAAUUUUGUAAAUUAGAUGCCCCAAAUUUGCAUGUUGUAUGCAUUUGUUUUCAUAUUGUUAUAAAAAAUGUUAUCAAAUUUUUAUGCCCCCGCAGACAUACAUGUAGUUCGGAGGGGGCAUUAAGCGUUGCCCCUUUACUUUCGUCCCCCACUUGGUUUCCGCUCAAUAACCUGAAAAAUAAUCAUUGGAUUUGAAAUUUUUUUGGUGUGUACAUGGAGGUAGAUGACUCCAAAAUACAGGCUAAGUUUGAAUUUGGAGUCCGCAGGUCAAAGCUCACAGCUCAUUAAAUAUGUGAGUUGGUUUACGCGCAAAUAACUUGAAAAUUUAAGGGAUUAAAAAAAAAUUUGAUGUAAGUAGAUGACACCAAAAUACAGGCUAGGUUAGGUACGCUACUCUAGCGCGAGAGGGCGCGAUUUUCGCGUCAUCAUUUUCGCGUACGAAAAUGGCGACAAGCUGCUUCGGGAGCCGGUGCGAGCAAUAACGGCAAGCCCUACUUGAGUCUCCUGUCUAGGAUGGUAAACGUAUAUCAAUGGGAAUGAAAACGAUGACAUCAUCUUCCCAAUGCAUUCAGCUAUACUGCACGGUAAGCUCUUGCGACGGAGGGUCGAGAUCGGAACAAUAAUUGCACUAAAACAGUCUAUUAAUUUCUUACCUCCAUUUGAGCAUGGCAAUACUUACUGAUCUGAAGUCGAGGGGCCCAACAAUGAACAGACUUGGGCUGCAUGAGCCGUCGAAUAUCUGUGGUUCCAAGAAAGCGUGAUGGAAAUGCCGCCUUAAAAAAACCAACCCCACCUCUGCCUCUGGUCUUUGUUCUUGGCGAUCCUGCAUUCCAUUCAGACUGCAACUUUAAGCAGGAAUUGUUCUACCAACUACUUAAUUAUUCACAAAUGUGAAUUGCAGCUUUUAAAUUGACAAGAAAGAAACAAUUGAUUUAUCUCACCCCCCCCCCCCCCCCAACUGUCUUCUAACAUUUUCUAUCACCCCAAACUAACACUUUUUUUCUUGUAUGUCUGUUUAAAUAUUUUUAUUUAGACUUUAUGUAAUUUUUUCAUGAUUUAUUUAAGAAGUAUGAGCAAAAAAACAAACAAUUUGGCACAUGCAGUAGAGAAGAGAAGGAACAUAGUGUUGAAAAAGGAUACACAUACAGAUCUGAAUAUUAAAAUAAAUUUAAAAAAGAAAUGACAAAUCCACACUGACACAUGAAAGUAUUCAUUUUAUUUUUUUUCCUUGUUGGCAUUGGUUACAUUAAUUAACUCCACAUAAAAAUAUAAAUUGGAUAUUUUAACAGUAUUAAUGAAGUUGCUCAAUAAAAUUUAAAAUUAGGUAUUCUCAUUGGAGGUAAUGGUUGAUACAGAUGGGUGGGUGGACCUGCAGCCACUAGCGUACCUAUGGGGGGGGCAGACUGCCCCCCCCCCCCGACGAGUCACAACCCAUGCAAGGGACGUAUCCCUGCCCUCCCCCCCUGAUGAGCCACCGGUGGCCCCCUCCUUUGAAGUUUAAGACCGAAAGUACGAAAUCCUUUAUUUGUGGUUGAAGACUUUUUUGCUUGUCAAAUUUUUGGGCGGACGAUUUUGCCCCCCCCCCCCCCCUGUGGAAAAUCCUAGGUACGCUACUGCCUGCAGCUCUAUUGUUUUAUUAGAUUUUCAUUUUUUAUUGCUGGGGGGGGGGGGUAUUAUGUAGAGCUGAAGCCAAAUGAUCUUAUGAGGCAAGAUUCAGUGUACAGCUCAAUAUGAUGCAUGUAAAGUGAUUUAUUAAACUUUUGAAAUAUCAAUUAAGAACUGGAAUGAUGAAUGAUAUGAAUAUAAGAAAUAUAUUAAAUGCAUGUAAAGUGAUUUAUUAAACUUUUGAAAUAUCAAUUAAGAACUGGAAUGAUGAAUGUUAUGAAUAUAAGAAAUCUAUUAUAUGCUAGUUCAUCACAACUUUAG